rnacentral:lncRNA from 1 species
CCAUGAGAACCUUGAUUUGUAAUAACAGCUCUUCCCCCACCCCAGGCUGUUCCCUAGCUGGGAUUUCAUUUCCCCAUGGCACAGACUAAUAAUUAAGAGGCCUUGGAAGAGCAGGGAGGGAGGGGUCAGGUUUCCCCCCCAUCAAGCAGAGGGGGCGGAUGACGGAGGCCGGAUGGUUUAUAGGGAGCUGGAGGUCGGGAAGCUGCAUCCCAGCUGCAGAGAUUGCUUAAUUCCAGCUGCAGGACACGCCAAGCCCAGUGACCAUGCGGCCUGCAGUGUCCAUCGCACUGAUCCUCGUGGCUCUGACGGUCCUGGCAGGUUUCCGUGCCUUGCUCGAGUCUCAGGAAGGAGCCACGCUCUCUACGACAGCAAGGAUGGGGCGGAUGGAUCUGAAAAUUGCAGUGGCCUUCGUCCUGCUGCUGUUUCUCUGCACUGAGGCUGCCAGUUAUCGGCUGCAGAAGCGAGAGGCUCAGGACUCAUUCUCCCAGAUCCAGGAGGUUGCCAAGAGUUAUUGGGAGCGGCUGAAUUCAGCGGUCCAGGGCUGGAUGGACAGUGUCAAAUCUUGGGAAAUCUACGAAAAAACCACAUCGGCUGCGGGGACCUACACAGAAAUCCUGAAGGACCAGGUUUACCAUUGGUGGCAUGGGGAGCAGUAACAUAGGCUGCCGUCCACCCCAUCCCCAUCCCCCUCCCCUCCCCACUGCCAUUCCUACAGGGACAAGCCAGGAUAGUGAGCGGGUUCCUCUAUGUUCAUAUUUGUUCACGUGCUGACACUUUUCUGCUUACAGAGUCAAUAAAGCAAAUUCCCUUGCCUGGCUCCA